rnacentral:rRNA from 1 species
AGGGCACCACCAGGAGUGGAGCCUGCGGCUUAAUUUGACUCAACACGGGGAAACUUACCCGGCCUGGACACUGGAAGGAUUGACAGAUUGAGAGCUCUUUCUUGAUUCAGUGGGUGGUGGUGCAUGGCCGUUCUUAGUUGGUGGAGCGAUUUGUCUGGUUAAUUCCGAUAACGAACGAGACUCUAGCCUAUUAAAUAGGCUCUCGGCUUUUAAACGCCGGGAGGACUUCUUAGAGGGACGGGUGGCGGUUCAGCCGCACGAAAGAGAGCAAUAACAGGCCUGUGAUGCCCUUUGUUGUCCGGGGCCGCACGCGCGCUACACUGAAGAGAUCAGCGUGCUUUAAGUUCCUGCUCCGACCGGAGUGGGGAACCCAGUGAACCUUCUUCGUGAUUGGGAUAGAAGAUUGUAAUUAUUCUUCUUGAACGAGGAAUUCCCAGUAAAUGCGAGUCAUAAGCUCGCGUUGAUUACGUCCCUGCCCUUUGUACACACCGCCCGUUGCUACUACCGAUUGAACGAUUU